UGAAGCAAGUGCACAGACACAUACGUGCAAAAAUCUGUAUGUGUGGCUGUUCCUUCGCUCGCC
ensembl:miRNA